rnacentral:lncRNA from 1 species
AGUACAACAACAACAACAACAACAAACCCAGUGUAUUCCCACCUAGUGGGGUCUGGGGGGGGGUAAGAUGUACGCAGUCCAUACCUCUACCUCUGAUGAAGUAGAAAGGUUGUUUCCGAUAGACCCCCGGCUCAAGACACGAGAUACCACACAAAUACAUAGUAAAGCACAGAAGCAGAUUACAUAACAUAAAUACGGCACCCAUAAGUAAUAUAAGACAGAGGAAAGCAGAGGAAAGCACACAGAUUCGUAAUAAAACAUGGAACACGGGAGACGGAAACAUAACAGGAAUAAAACCCCCACCA